rnacentral:rRNA from 1 species
GUCAGUAUUGACGCUGAGGCACGAGAGCGUGGGGAGCGAACAGGAUUAGAUACCCUGGUAGUCCACGCUGUAAACGAUGUAUGCUAGUUGUUGGGCUUUCGGGCUCAGUGACGCAGUUAACGCAGUAAGCAUACCACCUGGGGAGUACGUUCGCAAGAAUGAAACUCAAAGGAAUUGACGGGGGCCCGCACAAGCGGUGGAGCAUGUGGCUUAAUUCGAUGCAACGCGAAGAACCUUACCCGGGCUAAAUCCACGAUGACCGGUCCCGAAACGGACCUUCCCUUCGGGGCAUCAUGGAAGGUGCUGCAUGGCUGUCGUCAGCUCGUGCCGUGAGGUGUUGCCUUAAGUGGCGCAACGAGCGCAACCCCUGUGGUUAGUUACCAGCACGUAAUGGUGGGGACUCUAGCCAGACUGCCUACGCAAGUAGUGAGGAAGGUGGGGACGACGUCAAGUCAUCAUGGCCCUUAUGUCCGGGGCUGCACACGUGCUACAAUGGAUGGUACAGAGGGACGCCACCCCGCAAGGGGGCGCAGAUCUCGAAAGCCAUUCCCAGUUCGGAUUGGAGUCUGCAACUCGACUCCAUGAAGGUGGAAUCGCUAGUAAUCGCGUAUCAGCAAUGACGCGGUGAAUACGUUCCCGGGCCUUGUACACACCGCCCGUCAAGCGAUGGAAGUCAGGAGUACCUAAAGUUGCCGUUCAACGCGGUACCUAGGGU